CUCUCAUCCCUCUCCGAUCUGAACUCUCUCUCUCAUCCCUCUCCGAUCUGCUCAGUGUGUCUCCUCUUCGAGCGACGGUGACGAGGACAACGCCGACGAGGUCCGAACCCUAACGUCGACGACCUUGACCUCUUCGUCUUAAUCCUCCGAUCUCCGCCCCGCAUUCAACGUCUAAGAUGCUGACCUUCGCGCCUUCUACUCUGGAUUUCUCUAGCUCCGGCGCCGACUUUAAGCUCCAGCGAGUCCGGUAACAAUGACAUUAGUGCGUCGUUGUUAUGAUGCAGACAAAUUCAUAUGGGUGUCCAGAUGCAAGCAAUUCUGGCAGCUUUAGGUGGCAAUUCCAUUAAUGCGUAGGUCCACCAGAUAGAUGGGCAUCUAAAUUGGGAGAGGAGGUUAAUUGUGUUCAUAUGUCAGGAGAAUAAGAACUUGUUUCCAAAGUUUGUUGAAAUUUUAAUAUUUUCUGGUGCAGCUAUACCUAGGUAGCUUGUCAGAUCAUGGUAUACAACAUGCCCAUACUCCAUUGGCCGAUACAAGAAGAAAAGAAAGCAUGAUUGAAAUGAGUAGUGAACUAAUGAUUUGUUAUGUAGCUCAA